CGAGUAGGCGGAAUUGUUUGUCUGGUGUGAAAGCCCGGGGCUCAACCCCGGAAGUGCACUGGAAACGGCAGUUCUUGAAUCUCGGAGAGGGUAGUGGAAUUCCUGGUGUAGAGGUGAAAUUCGUAGAGAUCAGUGAGGAACACCGGUGGCGAAGGCGGCUACCUGGACGAAGAUUGACGCUGAGGCGCGAAAGCGUGGGGAGCAAACA
rnacentral:rRNA from 1 species